CUACGGAGGGUGCAAGCGUUAUUCGGAAUCAUUGGGUUUAAAGGGUCCGUAGGCGGACUAUUAAGUCAGAGGUGAAAUCCCACAGCUCAACUGUGGAACUGCCUUUGAUACUGGUAGUCUUGAGUUAUAUGGAAGUAGAUAGAAUGUGUAGUGUAGCGGUGAAAUGCAUAGAUAUUACACAGAAUACCGAUUGCGAAGGCAGUCUACUACGUAUAUACUGACGCUAAGGGACGAAAGCGUGGGGAGCGAACAGGAUUAGAAACCCUAGUAGUCC
rnacentral:rRNA from 1 species